rnacentral:rRNA from 1 species
AGUGAACGCUGGCGGUAGGCCUAACACAUGCAAGUCGAACGGCAGCACAGCAGUAGCAAUACUGUGGGUGGCGAGUGGCGGACGGGUGAGGAAUACAUCGGAAUCUACCUUUUCGUGGGGGAUAACGUAGGGAAACUUACGCUAAUACCGCAUAAGACCUUCGGGUGAAAGUGGGGGACCUUCGGGCCUCACGCGGAUAGAUGAGCCGAUGUCGGAUUAGCUUGUUGGCGGGGUAAAAGCCCACCAAGGCGACGAUCCGUAGCUGGUCUGAGAGGAUGAUCAGCCACACUGGAACUGAGACACGGUCCAGACUCCUACGGGAGGCAGCAGUGGGGAAUAUUGGACAAUGGGCGCAAGCCUGAUCCAGCCAUACCGCGUGGGUGAAGAAGGCCUUCGGGUUGUAAAGCCCUUUUGUUGGGAAAGAAAUCCUGCCGGUUAAUAACCAGUAGGGAUGACGGUACCCAAAGAAUAAGCACCGGCUAACUUCGUGC